UACGUAGGGCGCAAGCGUUGUCCGGAAUUAUUGGGCGUAAAGAGCUCGUAGGCGGCCAGUUGCGUCCGCUGUGAAAGCCCGGGGCUUAACCCCGGGUCGGCAGUGGAUACGGGCAGGCUAGAGGUAGGUAGGGGAGAAUGGAAUUCCCGGUGUAGCGGUGAAAUGCGCAGAUAUCGGGAGGAACACCGGUGGCGAAGGCGGUUCUCUGGGCCUUACCUGACGCUGAGGAGCGAAAGCGUGGGGAGCGAACAGG
rnacentral:rRNA from 1 species